UUAAUUGAAACCAAAAUUGAGGUCUAUCACUGUUAAUGAUAUCACUGGGUUUAAGCCCCAAUUAAG
rnacentral:tRNA from 1 species